rnacentral:miRNA from 14 species
AGCACCCAGCUGGUUGGGCUAGGUCAAGGUCCAGACAGAAGCUUCGGGAGAGAAUCCUCUUCCCUGGAGUGUUACAGCUCAGUAAUACAGGCACUCUUCAGACAAUCUUUGGUGA